rnacentral:lncRNA from 1 species
GUAAACGGUGACGGGCAGCGACCGAAGCAUGGCGGCUUCAAGGCCACGACCCGGGACGGGGAGGGGGCCGAGGUCGGCGGCGGCGAAGUCAAAGCGAGACCGAGAACGGGUGCGGAGGGCGGAGCGCAAGCGCCGCUUGGCGUAUAGAUAGAAGAAGAAGGCCAGGACGACCACCAUAAAGAAGAAGAUGAUGGCCGCCACCACAAUCUCGCUGCUUAUCUUUACGCCAGCGUUAU